UACGUAGGGCGCAAGCGUUGUCCGGAAUUACUGGGCGUAAAGAGCUCGUAGGUGGUUUGUCGCGUUGUUCGUGAAAACCUGAGGCUUAACCUUGGGCGUGCGGGCGAUACGGGCAGACUGGAGUACUGCAGGGGAGACUGGAAUUCCUGGUGUAGCGGUGGAAUGCGCAGAUAUCAGGAGGAACACCGGUGGCGAAGGCGGGUCUCUGGGCAGUAACUGACGCUGAGGAGCGAAAGCGUGGGGAGCGAACAGG
rnacentral:rRNA from 1 species